rnacentral:rRNA from 1 species
CAGUGUUGCAUGGUGUCGUCAGCUCGUGUCGUGAGAUGUUGGGUUAAGUCCCGCAACGAGCGCAACCCUCAUCCUUAGUUGCCAUCAGGUAAUGCUGGGUACUUUAAGGAAACUGCCAGUGAUAAGCUGGAGGAAGGUGGGGAUGAUGUCAAGUCAUCAUGGCCUUUAUGGGGUGGGCUACACACGUGCUACAAUGGUGUCUACAAUGGGUUGCAAGGUGCGCAAGCUUGAGCUAAUCCCUAAAAGACAUCUCAGUUCGGAUUGUACUCUGCAACUCGAGUACAUCAAGUUGGAAUCGCUAGUAAUCGUGGAUCAGCAUGCCACGGUGAAUACGUUCUCGAGUCUUGUACACACUGCCCGUCACGCCAUGCGAAUUG